rnacentral:lncRNA from 1 species
CAAGGAAUCCAGAUUUCACUUGCCUACCUCCACAGAUUCAGUUAGUUAUUAAGUUAUUAGUUAGUUAGUUAGUUAUUAAGCACAGAAUUUCUGAAAGCAUGCAGUUGGGCAAGCAUCAACUGUGUCUUGUCCCUUCCAUUUUAAAGGGUGGAGAGGCAGAAUUCUGGAAGACAGUAGACAUGAGAUUCUCCAGCUGUUCCCUUGUUUGCUCCUUGGUGCUACAUACUACCACCACAUCUGGUGAAGAUUCAUUCAGGUAUGAAU